UACGGAGGGUGCGAGCGUUGUCCGGAAUCACUGGGCGGAAAGGGCGCGUAGGCGGCAGGCCAAGCGUGCGGUGAAAGUCCGGGGCUCAACCCCGGAUCUGCCGUGCGGACUGGUUUGCUAGAGCACUGUAGAGGCGAGUGGAAUUCCGGGUGUAGCGGUGGAAUGCGUAGAGAUCCGGAAGAACACCGGUGGCGAAGGCGGCUCGCUGGGCAGUGGCUGACGCUGAGGCGCGACAGCGUGGGGAGCAAACAGG
rnacentral:rRNA from 1 species